GUACUAAAAAACUAUUUGUAUUUUCAUUAUUACUUUCCUUCUGUAUAAUAUAGAAUAGACCCCAAUCCGUGCAUGCUAAUUGCAUCGGUCUGUGACCUCUCAGAAUUAAUUUUUUCAGAAAUAGUACUUUAUGAUAUGUAAUAACAUUAUGGAAAAAGUUCUCAAGUUUUUUUUGUGCAGUUUUUGAAAAAAAAGUGUUAGAACCCCCUAUAAAAAUCGAUUUACAUGACUAUCAUUUUAUUUUGUUGAAAAUUAUCAAUAAAAAACAGAACCUAUUUUUGUAUAAUUUCUUUAUAUAUAUUUAUAAAUUCUUGAGUUCAUUUCAAAUAAAUGCAUGCGGCAAACUACUCGUCUUCCUAGUAAUCAAAAUAAAAUGAAAACAUAGCUGCAACUGAGUCUUGUAAACUAUUAUGUCUUAUUCAUUUUUCGAAUUGUGAAGUUGAACAAUUAAGAAAUUUUACUAAUUUAACUUAUGAAAAAUUUAUUUUAUCACGAAAUGAAUGGCUUAUGAUAGGUGACAAAAAUUUAGAAGCUAUGGGUGUAUCACAUAAAGUUGUUAGUUGCUCUGAAAAUUUUGAUAAAAACUCUCAUUUGGUAUACCAUCUAAAAUGUUACAAGUAUUUCAUAGAUGUGUCUAAAAUUGAAAGAGCCAGAAAAAGAAAAUUGAAUAAUAUAUCUGAAAGCUCUAAAUUAGAAAAUAAAAGAAAAUCUUCCUGAUUGUCAUCAGUUAGGAUUUCAACAAGUUCUUCAGUUUUGCAGUCACUUGGUAUUAUUUGUAAAAAAAAAAAUCUUCACUAUACAGAUUUUCAUGACAAAAAAAGAAAAAUACAGAAUCUUAGUUUAAGUUAAACUUUUGAUGGUGGCUUAUUGCGUCGAGCUGUUGAAGAUAAAAAUGAUGAAAAUAUUUUGUUAUACAUUAAAGACAAGGAUUGUGUUGCUGUUGAGGUGAGGUACCAUAAAACAUUUUACAAUGAAUAUACAAAACUUUAAAUCUUUAAUAUCACUGUCAGAGAUAUCUACCAGCAACUUAAUGUAUAAGUUGUCCUUUUGUACACAAGUUAUUGACAAUUAAAUCAUCAAAUUAAAAAAAGUUUAUUGCCUAGGUUAUCUUACUGAAUAUUUUAUAAAAAUUGUUAAAAAAGUAGAAAAUUUGGAUGCUAGCAAUUAUAAAAGCUGUCGCUUAAAAGAAAGAUUAAUAAAUUGUUAUUCUGAUUUGGUCAGCCGUUUUAUUGCAGUCAAAGUGAAUUUGUUUUUUAUGAGGAUAUAGGUGCAGUUGUUAUAAAUGAAGAAGUUGAUGAACUUGAUUCUCACAAGAAUCAGGUCUUUCAGAAAAUAAUGAAACUGAAAGUGAACAAGAGAACAAUUUAUUUAAUGUAAGUUGUUCUGCCUUUCAUCAAGUUUGUAUGAAAAUCAGAGAAUCUCUUAGAUGUGGAACUGGGAUUAAAAAUGGCCACCACCAGCUUCAGAUUUCAGUUUUGAAAAUAUUGAAAGUGGAAUUACACCUACUCUUUUUAAUUUUCUGUAAAUAAUUCUUGGUCAUACAGAUUUAUUAAAUUACAAGAAUUAACUUUAUCUGUAUAACAUUAAAUGUUGAAUUGAGUGAAAUAUCAGUUUAUUUACUGGGAAAUAAUCUCUUUACUUAACAAAAUUAUUUAAACACAAAAAUGUAUUCCUAAAUGAUAAUGACAUCUUGAUUUAGCAUACAUCACUUGCAAAUUAUCUCAGUUAGAUGCAGCAGGAAUUUUGCCAUGUUGGACAGGUUUUAACACAAUAUGCUCAUUAUACGGUUCAAAUAAAGGAAGUGUUUCAACAAUUUCAUACUUACCAAUUAUAAAUGCUCCUGUUAGUGAUAUAUCCACCAUUCAUGAAAUUUUAAAUACUAGUAUUAACAUAACUAACAACUUUUACUUCAUCAAAUUGUAAUGGUUUUUAAAGAGACGGUUUAUGCAAAAAUACAGAUGGUAAGAUGGAAAAACACAGAAUUUGUUGAUCAAAUUGUUGUAAGACUUGGGGAUUUCUACAUGGUCAUGUCCUUUAUGUCAGCUAUAGCUAAACUAUUUAAAGAUAUUGGUUUACAGGAUAGACUCAAUGAGUCUGGUGUUAUUGCUUGUGGUUCAUACAAUGGAGUGAUGUCUGGCAAACAUAAUUCUGGUGCUAGAGCUCAUAAAUUGAUGUAUGUAGCACUUAGUCAUCUGAGGAUCUGAGGUUUCAGUCGUUUCUUUCUUCAAUGACCAGAGAAGAAGAAGCUGACAUUUUAAAUUUUAUUUGCGGUAUGAAAGAAUGUUAUGAAGAUCCAGACUUUGACAACUAUAUUUAAAGUCCAUCGUUCCAAGAUAUUAUUAUAAGCUAUAAGACUUAUGUUAAUCACCAAUGUGCAAAGUCCCAGUUGUUUUAUUUCUGGAGUGUCUACUUAGAAAUAGUGCAAUUAAUGCUGCUUCAUUUAAGAGCAGUUUGUACGGGAAGUUGGGAUCUUCAUCUAUCUACAGUUAACUCUAUGUUGGUAUGGUUUUUUGUUACAGAUUGUAUCAACUACAGCAGAUAUGCAUCUUGGUAUUGGUUAGAAAUGAGUGUACCUAAUCAAAUUCAUAAAGAUAUUUGUUGUAAAAUAAGAGAAAACUGGACAGUUAAAAGACAGGCAUCAUAUAACUUUGCAGAUAUUGCAUGUGACCAAACUAUAGAACAAACUUUUAACAGGAGUAGUAAAGUUCAGGUGGUAUUGUAGGUAUGACACAUAAGCCAGGAGCUGUUAAAAGAUGGGUGUUAACCCAAGUGGAGAGGGCUUUGUUAACUGAAGCAGCUAAGGAAUUUGCAGGAGUAUCUUCAAUAACACGUUGUAGAAAAGAUGAUUCAAGAAUUAAAAAGGAUGAAGAGGAUAUUUGAUCAAUUUUGGAGACUAUUAAUACAAUGGUAAACUCUUUUGAUGAUGACAGAUAAGAACUUCUACAGUUAGCAAGUGGCAGAGUUGCAACAGAAAAUACUUCAAGAGAUAUGCUCAGUCUUUGGGAAAUAGGAAGACAAAAAGCUGAGAGUUUUAUUAACAAAAAUAUUCUUUGCAAAGAGCCAGACAUAUUUUCUCCAAUUAAAAAAAAAUGUUACAUACAUUUUCCAACAUGCACAAUAAAGUGCGUACUAAAAAUAAAAAAGGGGAAAUUUUGGAAAUAAAGAACACCACAAAUUUGUUUGCUAAGUUAAUCUUACAAGCAAAAAGCAGAGAUAUUGACAUGAAGUAAGUUUUAAAGUAUCCUCUACGACCUCAUCCCUCACCUUUUGCCACCGCAGAUGGUACUUUAGUAAAAACAACAAAAAGUAAUUUGUUAAAAAUUCUUGUAGAGCCUGUUAAAUAUUCACUGGUGUUGCCAAUUGUUGAAAGUGGAGCUUUACUAGUGGACGCAAUGGCUCUGUUACAAACACUACAAGUUAGAGUCAAAAACAUUUGGUGAGUUAGCUGAAUAUAUACUAAAAGAAAUUAUCUGUCCAACUGUUAUGGGUGUCAGCGUGUUGACUUUGUUUCAGAUAGGUAUUUUAAUCAUAGUAUUAAAAGUUUAGAACACGUGAAAAGAAUUACUCAUGGAACUUCAAUUAUUUGUAUAUUAACUUCGAUUAUUUGUAUAUUAAAUAAACUACUUGUCUAUACCUUGUCAAUGGAAAAAGUUCCUUUCAAAUCGCAAAAAUAAAGAAGAAAUAAUAAAUUUUUUGUUUACUCAUUUGAGUUCAUUAAAUACAUUUUAUUUCUCAAAUAAGUGUUUAUUUAACCAAUGAAGAUAAUUGUUAUCAAUUUAUGUUAUCAGCAAAUAAUGUGGUAGUAUAUGAAACAAUCUCUCUUAAAAGUGACCAUGAAGAAGUAGAUACUCGGUUAAUGGCUCACUCAUGCAGCUUCCUCUCACAAAAAUGUUGUAAUUUGGAGUUCUUCCACACAUCAUGCAGCUUCCUCUCACAAAAAUGUUGUAAUUUGGAGUUCUGACACUGAUGUAUUUGUCACUGCUUUACAUGCUAUCUAACAUUUUACUGUUAAUGUAUUAUUUGCAACCGUAAAUCAAAACAACAAACAUACAAUUAAUGUAAAAAAAGUAGCUGAUCAUUUGGGAUGCGAUACUACAAGUUCAUUUUAUGGUAAAGGAAAAGCUUCAGUACUUAAGGUCUUACAAAAAAAAACUGAGUAUGAAGGCGUGUUAGCAGAGCAUGGUGAAAAAUCACUUGAUGGCAUCAGAUUUAUUUACUAAAAUAGAGAAAUUUGUGUAUCACCUUUAUGGUAAUGACAGUUUCUUUAGUUAACGAGUUGAGAUAUGAACUCUUCAAGAAUGGCAAAUAUAGUGAAGAGCAAUUGCCUCCAACUUCAGAUGCAUUAGUACGGCACAUACUGAGAUGUAAUUAUCAAGCUUAUAUCAGGAAACAUGCCACUAUACCUCUAUUGAAAUGCCAUGUGUUUUGGAACAUGGUUGGAUGAUGGAUGGCGAUGAAUUGAAAAUAAAAUUGCUGUCAAAGGAAAUUUCUCCCGAUAGUGUGUUAAAUUUUAUUCAUUGUAGAUGCUUGACUGGUUGUAAAACAAAAAGAUGCUCAUGUUGAAGUGGAGAACUGUUGUGUUCUGAUUUAUGUCAAUGCAUUGAAUGCUGCAAUAAAAAUUUGAAAUUUGUCGAAGACAGCGAUGAUACUUACAGUGGAAUAGUUUCAACUGAUUCUGAUAUAGAUAAUCAACCAUUGUAAACUUUUAUGUUUGUAAGAUAAUAAAAAUAAAUUUACAAAAGUUAAAUGAACAAUUAA
rnacentral:lncRNA from 1 species